CCUACGGGAGGCAGCGAGUGGGGAAUAUUGGACGAUGGGCGAAAGCCUGAUCCAGCCAUGCCGCGUGUGUGAAGAAGGUCUUCGGAUUGUAAAGCACUUUAAGUUGGGAGGAAGGGCAGUAAAUUAAUACUUGCUGUUUGACGUACC
rnacentral:rRNA from 1 species